UGACAAUAAAUAAAGCUGAAGUACCAGAUGAUUGUUCAGACGAUUUUGUUGACAUGAAGAGAAAAAAAUGUAAAUUUCCUUCAAGUCCAACAAUCCACGGGGACUUUUUGUCUGUCUCAUGUUUUCGUCUAUUUGCUUAUGGAAUGUUUAAAAACUGGAUGAGCAAAAAUUUUCCAAACAGCUAUAAAUAAUCGGUUGUGUUGAAAAUGUGAUCAACUCUAUAUGGGACGGAGAGAAUGAAAAAAUUCUGAAAAGUUUGUUGUUAAAUGUUGGCAAAAGUGGUGAAGAACGCCAAAUUUGUUAAGCAAAGAUAUACGGAACAGUCAAAAAUAGAAUGACAAAAAAUAACGUCAAGAACUGGCAUUGAAUGAAAUAAUCUAUUUUUGGAAUUAUUUGACAAAAUGACAUAUGGAACGUUGGCUGUGUGACAAUACGGUUCUGUAUAGUAACCGAUGUACUGCAGACGAAUAACUCACAGUAUAUUCGAACUCUAUGUAACUAGUAUGCAUCGGUUGUGUACUGGAACAUAGUGUGUGGUCACACUCUGAACGUUUCUAACAAAUGUUGUUCCACUUAGAACGUUUCAAACAAGAGUGUUCUACUUAGAACGAUUCAAACAAAGGUGGUACUUUCAAAAAAAGUUGGGAUACGAAAAAAGUUCGACCUGCAUAUAUAAGGGAGAGGGUGGUGACACCUCGAACUCCCGGUCGUGUGUGUGUGUUUGUAUGGAACGUUGGCUGUGUGACAAUACUGUUCUGUAUAAUGACCGAUGUACUGCAGACGAGUAACUCAGAGUAUAUUCAAACUCUAUGUAACUAGUAUGCAUCGGUUGUGUACUGGAACAUAGUGUGUGGUCACACUCUGAACGUUUCUAACAAAUGUUGUUCCACUUAGAAUGAUUCAAACAAAGGUNGGGCGAAAGACUAAUCGAACCAUCUAGUUGCUGGUUCCUUCCGAAGUUUCCCUCAGGAUAGCUGGCAUUUGUUUGUAACAAUUUUAUCCGGUAGAGCGAAUGAUUAGAGGUGUUGGGAACGCAAUGUUCUCAGCCUAUUCUCAAACUUCGAAUGGGUAAGCAAGGCGUUUUGCUUUGAUUUUACGAUGAAAUCGCCCAAUUAGAAUGCAUAAAUGCCUAGUGGGCCAAUUUUGGUAAGCAGAACUGGCGAUGUGGAAUGAACCAAAAGUCAGGUUAAGGUGCCAGACAUUGGCGCUCAUGAAAUACCAGAAAAGGUGUUGGUCGAUAUAGACAGCAGGACGGUGGCCAUGGAAGUUGGAAUCCGCCAAGGAGUGUGUAACAACUCACCUGCCGAAUCGACUAGCCCUGAAAAUGGAUAGCGUUUGAGCGCCAGGCCCAUACCUGACCGUCUCAAUUACGCACUUUUUUCUUUUUUGAAAAAGGUGUAAUGAACGUUGAGACGGGUAGGAAGGUCGCGACAGUGUUGCUUUGAAGAGUUUUGAGCGUGAGCUCGCUCGGAGCCGCUGUUGGUGCAGAUCUUGGUGGUAGUAGCAAAUAUUCAAGUGAGAACCUUGAAGGCUGAAGUGGAGCAAGGUUCCAUGUGAACAGCAGUUGGACAUGGGUCAGUCGAUCCUAAGAAAACGGCGAAAGCUUGUUCGAAUUUGCGACAUGAAUUGUAAGACUGUGUGUGUUUAUUGUGUGUGCGUGUGCAGUUGUCGUAUGUUUUCGAAAGGGAAUCCGGUUGAUAUUCCGGAACCGAGUAACGGAGACAAAGAGUAGCGCUUUAAUCUCUCUGUGGGGUUGGCGUUCAACUCAAUCGCGCGGUAACGCAAGCGAACUCGGAAAAUGACCGUCGUGAGUUUCGAAAAGAGUUUUCUUUUCUUUUUAAGGGACGCAUUCCCUGGAACCGGGUUGUCCGGAGAUAGGGAUUCUGGUAUCCAUAAAACGCCGACUUUUUCACGGUGUUCGGAGCGCUCUCGUCGGUACGUGAAAAUCCGAGCGACGCCUGGUAAAUCUCGUACUUGGUCGUACUGAUAUCCGCAGCAGGUCUCCAAGGUGAAUAGCCUCUGGCCGAUAGAAUAAUGUAGGUAAGGGAAGUCGGCAAAACGGAUCCGUAACUUCGGAACAAGGAUUGGCUCUAAGGGCUGGGCCGAUCGGGCUGAGGUUUCAAGCGUGCAGUGUAUGCUUGGCUGAGUUGUGUUGAGGACUUGUUCACUUGCCGCCGUUUGUUCGGUUGGUCUAGUGUAUUCGAGUCUGAAGCAGAGCUGGCCGACAGACCGGCACGUGCAGAACCUGAGCUGCGCGGCUGUCCGUUUACGUGUACAGACCGUUUCGGUCGGCAUUCAACAGCCAACUUAGAACUGGCACGGACACAAGGAAUCUGACUGUAUAAUUAAAACAAAGCAUUGCGAUGGCCGAUGAUCGGUGAUGACGCAAUGUGAUUUCUGCCCAGUGCUCUGAAUGUCAAAGUGAAGAAAUUCAAUCAAGCGCGGGUAAACGGCGGGAGUAACUAUGACUCUCUUAAGGUAAUUUCGUCCGUGCGGCGGCGUUUUCUUUUCGCUCUCCGCUCGUCGAAAUUUGCUGUAGUUGAUUCGCUUUUUCUUUGCGUUUUCUUCUACUUUCGCAGUUUUUUCUGCAUUGCCACGAUGUCAAACCGCCUUGCCAAUACUGCUGCGGCUGGUGGGGUUCCAGAGAAAAACUCGGGAACUUUAGACAUUCCUGGCCAACCCUCCUCAUCCGGUGAAAAGCGUGCGAUCUCUUAUCCUGGUCCAUUCGGUUGCAAUUCGUGUUCGUUUACGAGUACGACUUGGCUCUCAGUGGAAUUGCAUUUCAAAAGCGUCCAUAAUACUCGCGAGUUUGUCUUCCUUUGCUCUAAAUGUGAAAAAAGCUGGCCAUCGAUCAACUCCGUAGCUAGCCAUUACCCUCGGUGCAAAGGUAGCGUCAAAGCUGCAGUUGUUCCUUCAUCUUUGGCGAAUACGUGCACCACGUGCGGCUCAAGCUUCGGUACUUUCAGCGGUCUUCAACUCCAUCGGAAAAGAGCGCAUCCGGACGUUUUUGCUGCUUCAUGUAGCAAAAAAACGAAGGCCCGUUGGUCUAACGACGAAUUCAUCCUUCUGGCGAGACUCGAAGCAGGUCUGGAUCCAGCCUGCAAAAACAUUAACCAAGUACUUGCGGAAAGGUUAAUGGGAUUUAACAUCACCAGAGGCGUAGAAAUGAUAAAAGGCCAACGUAGAAAAGAUCAGUACAAAGCGCUCGUUCGUCAACUCCGGUCAAAUUCUGAAACACAGCAAUGUGUAGGUUUAGCCGGAAGCAUGGAUUCGAACGUGCCGGUCAACGAUACAACGUCUUCCGUUGCAUCAGAGGUCACCAUUACGUACCCUGAGUACGGGGCCGUGAUGUCUUGCGACCUCAUUAAAGAAGCGACCGGUAUGGCCACGGUUGACAUCAACGAGUUGCAAAGCAACAUUCGAAAAGUCUUCUCGUCCGGCCGCAAACUUCCCAUGAAGGUCCGUGGAGUGCGCGAAACCGUCCAGAAGAAAAUGGCCAACCCCCGUGUUGCGAAAUUCAAGCGGUUCCAACGUUUGUUUCGAAGCAACAGGAGGAAACUGGCCAGCCACAUUUUCGAUAAAGCCUCACUGGAGCAAUUCGGUGGCAGCAUCGAUGAGGCAUCUGAUCACUUAGAAAAAUUCCUCUCCCGGCCAAGAUUGGAGUCCGAUUCUUAUUCCGUGAUAAGCGGUGAUAAGUCAAUCGGAGUUGCACAUCCAAUUUUGGCUGAGGAUGUGGAAUUGGAAUUAAAGGCCACCCGACCAACUGCCGUUGGCCCGGAUGGAAUUGGAUUGGAAGACAUCAAAAAAUUAAACACAUACGACUUAGCCAGUCUUUUUAACAUUUGGCUAAAAGCUGGCGACUUACCCGAUUCGGUGAAAGCCAGUAGAACCAUCUUCUUGCCCAAAAGCGACGGCACCACCGACAUAUCAAAUUGUCGGCCAAUUACAAUCGCAUCCGCUUUGUAUCGGCUGUUCAGUAAAAUUAUAACGCGGCGUCUGGCAGCCAGGUUGGAACUGAACGUGCGGCAGAAAGCGUUCCGGCCCGAAAUGAACGGCGUAUUUGAAAAUUCUGCCAUUUUAUACGCCCUCAUCAAGGAUGCAAAGGUCAGGUCGAAGGAAAUUUGCAUAACUACGCUCGACCUCGCCAAGGCCUUCGACACGGUGCCCCAUUCACGUAUUUUACGAGCCCUCAGAAAAAAUAAUGUCGACCCGGAAUCUGUCGACCUGAUUUCGAAAAUGUUGACGGGUACGACGUAUGCCGAAAUAAAAGGGCUCCAGGGCAAACCUAUAAUAAUUCGCAAUGGAGUCAGGCAAGGUGACCCCUUGUCGCCCCUAUUAUUUAGUCUAUUUAUAGACGAAAUAAUAGGUCGCCUACAAGCCUGCGGCCCUGCCUACGAUUUCCAUGGCGAAAAAAUUUGCAUUCUGGCUUUCGCCGAUGAUCUGACGCUGGUGGCUGACAGUGCAGCUGGUAUGAAGAUCCUUUUGAAAGCGGCUUGUGACUUUCUGGAGGAAUCUGGAAUGUCACUUAAUGCAGAGAAAUGCCGCACUCUCUGCAUUUCACGAUCUCCUCGAAGCCGCAAGACAUUCGUCAACCCAGCUGCCAAAUUCAACAUCAGCGAUUGGAAAACGGGUGUCAGCUCAGAAAUCCCCUCCCUGUGUGCGACGGACACCUUUCGUUUCCUGGGGCACACCUUCGAUGGAGAAGGAAAGAUCCACAUCGAUACGGAGGAAAUUCGAUCCAUGCUCAAAUCGGUGAAGUCAGCUCCACUGAAACCGGAACAGAAGGUGGCUUUGAUACGGUCACACCUUCUUCCCCGCCUUCAGUUCCUGUUUUCUACAGCUGAAGCUGACAGCCGGAAAGCCUGGCUGAUCGACUCCAUCAUCCGGGGGUGUGUGAAGGAGAUCUUGCACUCAGUGAAAGCUGGUAUGUGCACUGAUAUCUUUUACAUACCCUCUAGAGACGGUGGACUGGGAUUUACUUCUCUCGGGGAGUUUUCCCUCUUCAGCAGGCAGAAGGCUCUCGCCAAGAUGGCUGGAUCGUCAGACCCCCUCUCGAAACUGGUUGCUGAAUUCUUCAUUGAAAGGUGGAACAUCGCCCGUGACCCGAAAGUUAUUGAAGCUGCUCGGCGCGUCUACCAGAAAAAACGGUAUCAACGCUUUUUCCAGACGUACCAGAGCGGUGGAUGGAGCGAAUUUUCGGGAAACACUAUUGGAAACGCCUGGCUGACAAACGGCCGUGCCCGCGGAAGAAACUUCAUAAUGGCUGUGAAAUUCCGUUCGAACACCGCAGCCACCCGGGCCGAAAACCUACGGGGCCGUCCCGGCAUGAAAGAAUGUCGGUUUUGCAAGAGUGCCAUCGAAACUCUGGCACACAUCUGCCAGAAGUGUCCGGCAAAUCACGGCUUGGUAAUCCAGCGCCACGACGCAGUCGUAACAUUCCUUGGAGAAGUAGCGCGGAAGGAAGGUUACCAGGUCAUGAUAGAGCCUAAGGUGUCAACCCCGGUCGGCGCGCUCAAGCCCGACCUCCUUCUCAUCAAAGCCGACACUGCAUUCAUUGUGGAUGUAGGCAUCGCAUGGGAAGGUGGACGCCCACUAAAGCUGGUCAACAAAAUGAAAUGUGACAAGUACAAAGUUGCCAUCCCGGCAAUUUUGGAAACAUUUCACGUUGGCCAUGCUGAGACGUACGGCGUUAUUCUGGGCAGCCGCGGAUGCUGGCUCAAGAGCAACGACAAGGCGUUGGCAUCAAUUGGGCUCAAUAUCACACGGAGGAUGAAAGAACACCUGAGCUGGUUGACGUUCGAAAACACCAUCCGAAUUUAUAACUCUUUCAUGAAAAACUGAGGUUUUUUUUUGUUUUCUUUUUCCUUUUACCAUUCUUUCUUGUUACAUUGUUGUUAUUUGCUUUAAUCCUGCAUUUUACCGUCGGCAAUUCCAUCGUUAUUAUUACUGUUAUUAUUAUUAUUGUUACUAUUGUUAUUACUUUUACUUACUAUUGUUAUUACGCUUUAAUUUGUAUACUUACGUUAUUGUUACUACUACUCACGUUGCUCUCGCAAACGUUCGUUAUUGUUACUUUUGGACCAGGUUUAGAGAAAUCGCACGCACAGCGGAACUGGACCGCUUAAGCCAGAAAUAGUAAAGUAACAAUAGCCAAAUGCCUCGUCAUCUAAUUAGUGACGCGUAUGAAUGGAUCAACAAGAUUCCUUCUGUCCCUAUCUACUAUCUAGCGAAACCACAGCCAAGGGAACGGGCUUGGCAAAAUCAGCGGGGAAAGAAGACCCUGUUGAGCUUGACUCUAGUCUGACUCUGUGAAGAGACAUGAAAGGUGUAGCAUAGGUGGGAGAUUGUCAAAUUGCCAUCGUUCGCGCGGUGGUCCGGUGAUCGCCAAUGAAAUACCACUACUUUGAUCGUUUCUUUACUUAUUCGGUAAAGCGAAAAAAUUGUGGCCAAUUUGGCGGUGUUUAUGUCGCUGUUGGUCAUUGUUUUCAUGUUAGAUUGAAGCUUUGUUUACAGCCGUCGCUUUGUGUCGCCAUUUGACGCAUUGUUGUACUGGGUUAUCCCGGUGUGUGGUGUAGUCAGUAUGGAUGAUCGGCGAUAGGUUUGAAGUGAUUCGCUCCGGAAACAGUGUCAGACGGGGAGUUUGACUGGGGCGGUACAUCUGUUAAACGAUAACGCAGGUGUCCUAAGGUAAGCUCAGCGAGGACAGAAACCUCGCUUAGAGUAAACGGGCACAAGCUUACUUGAUUUUGAUUUCCAGUACGAAUAGAAACCGCGAAAGCGUGGCCUAUCGAUCCUUUUGAUUGUGUAGAUUUCAUGCAAGAGGUGUCAGAAAAGUUACCACAGGGAUAACUGGCUUGUGGCAGCCAAGCGUCCAUAGCGACGUUGCUUUUUGAUCCUUCGAUGUCGGCUCUUCCUAUCAUUGCGAAGCAGAAUUCGCCAAGCGUUGGAUUGUUCACCCACCAAUAGGGAACGUGAGCUGGGUUUAGACCGUCGUGAGACAGGUUAGUUUUACCCUACUGAUGACAAGUCGUUGCGAUAGUAAUCCUGCUCAGUACGAGAGGAACCGCGGGAUCAGACAUUUGGUUCAUGCGCUCGGCUGAAAGGCCGGUGGCGCGAAGCUAGCAUCUGCAAGAUUAUGACUGAACGCCUCUAAGUCAGAAUCUUUUCUAGUCAUUGGCAACGAUAAGUUGCGUCCAGACUCGAUGCGAGGAAACGAUUAGGCUUUGCUAUACGGCGAAGCCAUUAUCAGACCACGGUAGCAGGCAGUAUGGGAUUGUUACGAAAAAGCAAUUUUUUGAAGUCAGUUGAAUUCAAUCAAACUGCUAACAAUUCCACUGCGAAUGACUCCAUUCGAAUCAAUCGAAGCACAGCGGUCAGGAUGUCGAACAUUUUGCAGACGACAAAAAUACCGGUUCAGGUGUCGUAAUCAGUAGAGCAGUCAACACACUGCGAUCUGAUGAGACUCAUCCUUGUAAUCGAUUUGCUCGU
rnacentral:rRNA from 1 species